rnacentral:SRP_RNA from 1 species
ACUUAUGCCCCGAGCGACGGCUCUCUCGUAAACCCCGCCAGGACCGGAAGGUAGCAACGGUAGCGAGAGAACGGGUGUUCGGGGCGCUUUUUAUUG